CCCGAUAGGCGAGGGACGCUGGGAUGCUUCCUCGCCCAAAGCUCCGGCGCCCAGGGAUGGGACUGCGGUCUAUCAGGCUGUUGGUGGUGUAACGGACCACCAAACCUACGACGGGUACAGGCGAUGGGAGUCGGAGCCUGGAGAUGGGGACUGAGACAAGGCCCCAGGCCCUACGGGGCGCAGCAGGCGCGAAAACUCCGCAAUGCGCGUAAGCGUGACGGGGGGACCCCAAGUGCCGUUGGUCUUUUGAUCGACGGCUUUUAGGAAGUCUAUGAAGCUUCCAGAAUAAGGGCUGGGUAAGACUGGUGCCAGCCGCCGCGGUAACACCAGCAGCCCAAGUGGUGGCCACGAUUAUUGGGCCUAAAGCGCUCGUAGCCGGGUCAGCAAGUCCCUUGUGAAAUCGGGCCGCCUAACGGUUCGGCGUGCAAGGGAUACUGUUGGUCUUGAGGCCGGGAGAGGUCGGAGGUACUCCUGGGGUAGCGGUGAAAUGCUCUAAUCCUGGGGGGACCACCAGUGGCGAAGGCGUCCGACCAGAACGGACCUGACGGUGAGGGGCGAAGGCUAGGGGAGCGAACGGGAUUAGAUACCCCGGUAGUCCUAGCUGUAAAGCAUGCGGGCCAGGUGUCUAGCGCUCCUCGAGGGCGCUAGGUGCCGGAGGGAAGCCGUUAAGCCCGCCGCCUGGGAAGUACGGCCGCAAGGUUGAAACU
rnacentral:rRNA from 1 species